UGCAUUUAGAGUUCCACCAUUUGACAGAAUUCCUGGUCUUUGUGGGAUUUUUUUCUGGAGUUAUUUCCUGCAAUAGUUGUAGUCAUGAGAUGAUGUACUGAUGGAGGAAAUUCUGUGUGAUUUUAUGAUACGUACAUAUUUUUGCAUAUUUGCAAGGCAUGCUCUGGAGGAAUGAUUUGAGCCUAUAAUGUCAUCUAAUUGGUGCGUUGAUAAAAUUACAUUCUGUAACAACUAUAUCAGAACAUCAACCUAAAAAUCAAAAGGCAUAGGUUAGGGUAAAUAGAAAAUACUGGUUUGGGUAAAUAGAGCUAGAGUAUAUCACUACAAUCUGACAGCCUCCUUGCAAAGAUUGACAUAUUACAAGACCCAACAUGUGACUAUAAUCACAUCGAAGAGAUAAUUUGUGUUUUGUGGACCUGCUUCCUAUGGUAUGAAAGAUAAAAAUUUAUACAAAAUUACAGAAAGAACAGAUGGACUCUGCUCUGCAGAAUUCACAUAUUUCUUAAAGAACCCAAGAUACAGGGCAUCAAACAUAUAGAUAAAUUUGUAGAAGCUUCGUAUAUCACCAUGUAACGAGAAUAAUUAUGUUAAAAUUCAAAGACAACAAAGAUUACUAAGCUUUAAACUGAAACCUUACCAUCGUACUGAUAUUUUCUAAUACAUAAGUCUGAAGCUAGAUGUACAUUAAAAAGACUAAAGAGAGAACGCUAGAUUAAAGAUUAGGACUGAGUAUUAGAUUAAGAUUAAAUAUUACAGAUUGUGCAAUUAUUUUUAUACCUUGAUAUUGCUGUUAUAUUGUUAAUAUUCAACACUCUUGAUGUAACAUGAAGCUAGAUUUAAAACUAAGACUGAGCACUAGGUUAAGGUUUGGUAUUACAAAUUGUGCAAUCACUCGGAUUUUUAGUUCUAAGCUCACUAUUUUUACUUGAUAUUGUUAUUAUAUUAUUGAUAUAGUGAUAAUGUGGCUUAUAGACCCUUAAAAGCUUGUAUUCAUUAAAAAAAGAUAUCUUGAUAUUCUCAGUCAUGGUGUAAUAUACUUAUGUUCUCAACACGUAUACCGAAAUGGCGGGAAAUGUACUAUAGCAAUGUUUCAAGAUCCUAGUAAAUACUUUAUUUGUCUACUUUCUGCACUAGUUUUUCCGGUUGAAUUAAGAGAAUCCUUACAUUCUUUUGUUUAUGAUAAAAGAAAGAAGGGAAAAGAGAGAAGAGGAAGGAUAAGGAAAAGAUAAUAGCAAAGGUAAUGUAGAAACGAAAGGUAUAUGUAUUGGAUUUAUUUUCGUUAAUUUUACAUAAAACAGCGUAUUGAUACGCUAAUAGUCGAAUAGCAUUCGUUCGAAAAUACAAUAUGAUGUAUGUAAUUAGUUGGAAACAAAAUAGACGCAAUGUACAAGUAUUUAAGCUGCAUGUACGACAGGUAUCGAUAUCAGU